GUAUCACGAGAGCAGUGAUAGUUUCAAACGAAUUUGGUAAUACACAUAGAGAUUACAAAGUAUUUAUUGCAAACAUACAUUUAGUAACAGUAUUUGCUACGACUAGGUGUCCUACUUACAUUUGUCAAGGCUGAUAAUUGACCCUACGAAUUCGUUGACAGUAAAAGACGGUGCUUGGUCUUCCAUUUGCCUUCUCCUUCUAACUAACCACCAAUCAACGAGGAACAGUGCCAAAGCUAAAAUCUUGAUGCCAGCGCAAAGUCCUACAUCUGUAUCUGAACUGUUCAAUGUCGUAAAGUAAACAUCGUCCACCUUUUUCUCCACAUGUGCUUUUCCAAAGUAAACAUGUAGAGUCAAUUAAAUUACCAAAUAAAAUAGGAGCGGGUAUGUAACCGAACAGUCUAAAAAUUACAAAUUGCAUGCCUAAAGCAAACGAUCUUUCCUCCUCUGAGACUGAUCUGCAUAGAAAAAAAAG
rnacentral:misc_RNA from 1 species